rnacentral:rRNA from 1 species
GACGAACGCUGGCGGCGCGCCUAACACAUGCAAGUCGAACGAGCGAGAGAGAGCUUGCUUUCUCGAGCGAGUGGCGAACGGGUGAGUAACGCGUGAGGAACCUGCCUCAAAGAGGGGGACAACAGUUGGAAACGACUGCUAAUACCGCAUAAGCCCACGGGUCGGCAUCGACCAGAGGGAAAAGGAGCAAUCCGCUUUGAGAUGGCCUCGCGUCCGAUUAGCUAGUUGGUGAGGUAAUGGCCCACCAAGGCGACGAUCGGUAGCCGGACUGAGAGGUUGAACGGCCACAUUGGGACUGAGACACGGCCCAGACUCCUACGGGAAGCAGCAGUGGGGAAUAUUGCACAAUGGGGGAAACCCUGAUGCAGCGACGCCGCGUGGAGGAAGAAGGUCUUCGGAUUGUAAACUCCUGUUGUUGGGGAAGAUAAUGACGAUACCCAACAAGGAAGUGACGGCUAACUACGUG